rnacentral:rRNA from 1 species
UACGUAGGGGGCGAGCGUUGUCCGGAGUACUGGGCGUAAAGCGCACGCAGGCGGUCGGCUGCGUAGGUGGUGACAGUCCUCGGCUUACCUGAGGAAGCGCUGCCUAAACGGGUCGACUUGAGGGCCAGAGAGGGACACGGAACUCCGGGUGGAGCGGUGAAAUGCGUAGAGAUCCGGAAGAACACCAAAGGCGAAGGCAGUGUCCUGGCUGGCUCCUGACGCUCAGGUGCGAAAGCUAGGGGAGCAAACAGG